AUUGAACGCUGGCGGCAUGCUUUACACAUGCAAGUCGAACGGUAACAGGCCGCAAGGUGCUGACGAGUGGCGAACGGGUGAGUAAUGCAUCGGAACGUGCCCAGUCGUGGGGGAUAACGCAGCGAAAGCUGUGCUAAUACCGCAUACGAUCUAUGGAUGAAAGCGGGGGACCGUAAGGCCUCGCGCGAUUGGAGCGGCCGAUGUCAGAUUAGGUAGUUGGUGGGUAAAGGCACACCAAGCCAACGAUCUGUAGCUGGUCUGAGAGGACGACCAGCCACACUGGGACUGAGACACGGCCCAGACUCCUACGGGAGGCAGCAGUGGGGAAUUUUGGACAAUGGGCGCAAGCCUGAUCCAGCAAUGCCGCGUGCAGGAAGAAGGCCUUCGGGUUGUAAACUGCUUUUGUACGGAACGAAACGGUCUGGGUUAAUACCCCGGGCUAAUGACGGUACCGUAAGAAUAAGCACCGGCUAACUACGUGCCAGCAGCCGCGGUAAUAC
rnacentral:rRNA from 1 species